GGGGAUGUAGCUCAGUGGUAGAGUGUGUGCUUCGUAUGUACAAGGUCCUGCGAUCCAUCCCCAGCAUCUCCA